rnacentral:rRNA from 1 species
UCGAGAAUUUUUGACAAUGGGGGAAACCCUGAUCGAGCGACGCCGCGUGGAGGAUGAAGGUCUUCGGGUUGUAAACUCCUGUCAUUUGGGAACAAGGCGCGUGUAUUAACUGUGCACGCGUUGAUAGUACCAGAAGAGGAAGAGACGGCUAACUCUGUGCCAGCAGCCGCGGUAAUACAGAGGUCUCAAGCGUUGUUCGGAUUCAUUGGGCGUAAAGGGUGUGUAGGUGGCGCGCUAAGUCGGGUGUGAAAUUUCGGAGCUUAACUCCGAAACUGCAUUCGAUACUGGCGUGCUUGAGGACUGGAGAGGAGACUGGAAUUUACGGUGUAGCAGUGAAAUGCGUAGAUAUCGUAAGGAAGACCAGUGGCGAAGGCGGGUCUCUGGACAGUUCCUGACACUGAGACACGAAGGCCAGGGGAGCAAACGGGAUUAGAUACCCCCGUAGUCC